CCCGAGACUAGAGUCACAUCCUGACAGCUGUUGUCCUGGUGUGCUACAGUUCUCGGAGAGAAUCUGCUGGUCUUGAUUCACUGACGAGGGCAGUCAGUGCCCCCGGUUAGUGCCCAGAUCAGAAACAUGG